rnacentral:lncRNA from 1 species
GGCAGAGCCGAGCGUAGAGAUCCCCACCUCGCCCCACCGCCCCAGUUUACAGAUGGGUAGACUGAGCACCUCGUAACUCUGCAAGGCCACAGGCUAGACAGUGGCAGAGCCAACAUCUCCUGCCUUUCCUGACUCGGGGCCAACCCUUCCGGUACGACAUGCCCCAGCAACAAGUCCUGGCCUGGGAGCCCACCCUCAGCCCCACUUCCCAACCGCAGGUACGAGUCUACUCAUCACCUCGAGCGUUUCCACCCUCACGCUUUUACUGCAGCCGGUCUUCUCGACUGGAAUGCUCUCCUGCCGUCUCUUUGCUUACCAGAAUCCCAAUGCCUUUAAGGGCUCAGCUUGCACUGCCUCCUCCAGGGAGCCUUCGUGGGAGCCUGACCCUCCCCCUCCCGGUCCUGCUCCCGCUGCAUUCUGGGUUCUUCUGACUGUCCUAGAUGAAUGCUGUCAGCCACUAGCCCAGCCCUCAGGAUUCCAUUCUACCUUCCUCCAGGUUGGGGGUGGGGGUGACCUCCUGGCCUGCUUGGAUGGCAUCUGCGGUGGAGUUGAUGCUUUUCAAUCUGUAAAAUGGAGGCAUUGGACAAGAGAACCCUCACCAGCUUCAACAUUCCUUGACUCAGUUUCUAGAAGAUGCUGCCUGCUUAUCACGGAACUGGGCAGAGUUGGGCACUAG